GACGAACGCUGGCGGCGUGCUUAACACAUGCAAGUCGAACGGAAAGGCCCUGCUUUUGUGGGGUGCUCGAGUGGCGAACGGGUGAGUAACACGUGAGUAACCUGCCCUUGACUUUGGGAUAACUUCAGGAAACUGGGGCUAAUACCGGAUAGGAGCUCCUGCUGCAUGGUGGGGGUUGGAAAGUUUCGGCGGUUGGGGAUGGACUCGCGGCUUAUCAGCUUGUUGGUGGGGUAGUGGCUUACCAAGGCUUUGACGGGUAGCCGGCCUGAGAGGGUGACCGGCCACAUUGGGACUGAGAUACGGCCCAGACUCCUACGGGAGGCAGCAGUGGGGAAUAUUGCACCAUGGGCGGAAGCCUGAUGCAGCAACGCCGCGUGCGGGAUGACGGCCUUCGGGUUGUAAACCGCUUUCGCCUGUGACGAAGCGUGAGUGACGGUAAUAGGUAAAGAAGCACCGGCUAACUACGUG
rnacentral:rRNA from 1 species